rnacentral:rRNA from 1 species
UACGUAGGGGGCAAGCGUUAUCCGGAUUUACUGGGUGUAAAGGGAGCGUAGACGGCAGUGCAAGUCCGGAGUGAAAGCCCGGGGCUCAACCCUGGGACUGCUCUGGAAACUGUAAAGCUGGAGUGCAGGAGAGGUAAGCGGAAUUCCUGGUGUAGCGGUGAAAUGCGUAGAUAUCAGGAGGAACACCAGUGGCGAAGGCGGCUUACUGGACUGUAACUGACGUUGAGGCUCGAAAGCGUGGGGAGCAAACAGG